ACAAUAAGACUUAGGGGCGUCUUGUUUAUUUAGCAGUUUACACAAAACAAAGGGUUGAUCCUCUAUGUGCAAGUAGGUGUGAAUGAAAUGAACUUUGCGCAUGCCAGUUGCCUACAGUACAUAUCGUAAAUAUAGAGAUACCCCGAGUCAUUACUGGGGAGCUACCUGUUUUGUACUGAUUGGAAUAAAAAGCGUGUGAUUGUGCACACAAGCUAGUCAAUGGAAGAUACUUCCGUGUUAAUAAAAAUAUAUAAAAUUUAAUUUGUCGGUUCAUCACAGUACAAAAGCGAUUUCAUCUAGAAAGACUUCAUGAAGUCCCUUCUCCUCUACAUGAUGAGAUUCACCAAAGGACCACUUUGUCAUUCUGGAUUUCAAGAUGAAAACAGGAUUCUUCAGUGAAAAUGUGAUGUGAAACUAUGAUCAUGUGUUAUGUAUUACAGUAAUUAAUUUUCAGUAACUUUGUCAUCAGUGACUUUUUCUAGACUGCAAAUUUAAUGAGUAAUAUAUGUCAUUUACACUACUAAAAUGAUUAAUAAACAUUUAGAAACUCA